ACUUGCAAAAAAUACCAUAUUGUGUCCUACUGCCUAAUGAUUUAUCUGCUGUUCUUGCAUUAGGGCUUGCACCCCAGAAUAGUAGCAGAAGGAUUUGAGAUUGCAAAGGAAAAAGCACUUGAAGUUUUGGAGCAAGUCAAAGUAACCAAGGAAAUGGACAGAGAGACCCUUAUGGAUGUUGCCAGAACAUCCCUUCGUACUAAAGUCCACACUGAGCUUGCUGAUGUCUUAACAGAGGCCGUAGUAGAUUCUAUUUUGGCAAUCAGAAAACCAGAUGAGCCCAUUGAUCUCUACAUGGUGGAGAUUAUGGAGAUGAAG